CUGCUAUGUUAAUAGCUUGCUAGACCCUGCAAGAGCCUCCUGUAUGUGAUUAAAGUUCAAUUUAGAGAUUGAGAUACAAUUAUUUAAGGUAAAUUACAUCUGUUUGAAAGUGAAACCAGUUUUUUUUUUUUUCAUGCAGGCUCUGUCAAUCAUAGCCAGGGGAGGUGUGGCUAGGGCUGCAUAAACAGAAACAAAGUGAUUUAACUCCUAAAUGGCAGUGAAUUGAGC